CCUACGGGGUGCAGCAGUGGGGAAUAUUGGACAAUGGGCGAAAGCCUGAUCCAGCCAUGCCGCGUGUGUGAAGAAGGCCUUCGGGUUGUAAAGCACUUUCAGUGGGGAAGAAAGCCUUGGGGCUAAUACCCUCGAGGAAGGACAUCACCCACAGAAGAAGCACCGGCUAACUCCGUGCCAGCAGCCGCGGUAAUACGGAGGGUGCGAGCGUUAAUCGGAAUUACUGGGUGUAAAGCGCGCGUAGGCGGUCUGAUAAGCCGGUUGUGAAAGCCCCGGGCUCAACCUGGGAACGGCAUCCGGAACUGUCAGGCUAGAGUGCAGGAGAGGAAGGUAGAAUUCCCGGUGUAGCGGUGAAAUGCGUAGAGAUCGGGAGGAAUACCAGUGGCGAAGGCGGCCUUCUGGACUGACACUGACGCUGAGGUGCGAAAGCGUGGGUAGCAAACAGGAUUAGAUACCCGAGUAGUC
rnacentral:rRNA from 1 species